UACGUAGGGGGCAAGCGUUGUCCGGAAUUAUUGGGCGUAAAGCGCGUGUAGGCGGCCAGAUAAGUCCGCUGUGAAAUCUCGAGGCUCAACUUCGAGCUGUCGGUGGAAACUGUCUGGCUAGAGUCCGGAAGAGGAGAAUGGAAUUCCUGGUGUAGCGGUGAAAUGCGCAGAUAUCAGGAGGAACACCGGUGGCGAAGGCGGGUCUCUGGGCCGAUAUUGACGCUGAGGAGCGAAAGCGUGGGGAGCGAACAGG
rnacentral:rRNA from 1 species